rnacentral:lncRNA from 1 species
CGAGUUCGGCCCUUCACAGCCUUUCAAAGGAGCCAAGAUCACCGGUUCACUCCACAUGACCAUCCAGACGGCCGUCCUCAUCGAGACACUCACCGCUCUCGGCGCCGAAGUCCGCUGGUGCUCCUGCAACAUCUUCUCAACCCAAGACCACGCGGCCGCCGCCAUCGCACGUGACUCCGCCUCCGUCUUUGCCUGGAAGGGUGAGACCCUCCAGGAGUACUGGUGGUGCACGGAGAAAGCCCUGGACUGGGGUCCCGGCGGCGGCCCAGAUCUCAUCGUCGAUGACGGUGGUGACGCCACGUUGUUGAUCCACGAGGGAGUCAAAGCUGAGGAGAUCUACGAGAAGACCGGGAAGUUGCCCGACCCGGCCUCCACCGACAACGCCGAGUUUCAGAUUGUUUUGACUAUCAUUAGAGAUGGGUUGAAGGCCGAUCCCAAGAAGUACCACAAAAUGAAGGAAAGAUUAGUUGGUGUUUCCGAAGAAACCACGACCGGUGUCAAGAGAUUGUACCAGAUGCAAGAAAAUGGAACCCUCUUGUUCCCUGCCAUCAAUGUCAAUGACUCUGUCACCAAGAGCAAGGUAAUUUAUUUUGAUUUGCUUCAGAUCUCAAGUUUAUUUUAUUUUAUUUUAUUUUAUGCCAUCAAUUCAUUAAAUGGUUUGAAAUAUUGGAGGAAAUUAAAUACUAAUGUUUGAUAAUGCAAUGGGGGAAACAGUUUGAUAACUUGUAUGGAUGCCGCCACUCGCUCCCAGAUGGUUUGAUGAGAGCUACUGAUGUUAUGAUUGCCGGAAAGGUUGCUGUUGUUUGCGGUUAUGGUGAUGUUGGCAAGGGUUGUGCUGCUGCUUUGAAGCAAGCCGGUGCGCGUGUAAUUGUUACCGAGAUUGAUCCAAUUUGCGCUCUCCAGGCUCUUAUGGAGGGUCUUCAAGUCCUAACCCUUGAGGACGUCGUCUCCGAUGCUGACAUCUUUGUUACCACCACCGGUAACAAGGACAUCAUCAUGGUUGACCACAUGAAGAAGAUGAAGAACAAUGCAAUUGUUUGCAACAUUGGUCACUUUGAUAAUGAAAUUGAUAUGCUCGGUCUUGAGACCUACCCGGGUGUUAAGCGCAUUACCAUCAAGCCCCAAACUGAUAGGUGGGUCUUCCCGGAGACCAACUCAGGCAUCAUCGUGUUGGCUGAGGGACGUCUCAUGAACUUGGGAUGUGCCACUGGACACCCCAGCUUUGUGAUGUCCUGCUCCUUCACCAAC